rnacentral:rRNA from 1 species
UUUUAAGGGUUCGACUCCGGAGAAGGGGCCUGAGAAAUGGCCACUACGUCUAAGGAUGGCAGCAGGCGCGCAAAUUACCCACUCUCAGAACGAGGAGGUAGUGACGAGAAAUAACAAGACCGUUCUCUUCAGAGGCCGGUCAUUGGAAUGGGUACAAUUUAAACCCUUUAACGAGUAUCUAUGAGAGGGCAAGUCUGGUGCCAGCAGCCGCGGUAAUUCCAGCUCUCAAAAUGCAUAGAAUCAUUGCUGCGGUUAAAAAGCUCGUAGUUGGAUCUGUGCUGGCGGGUCGGUCCACCUUCGGGUGCGCACUGAUUUCGCCGGCUUUCCUGCUGUAUUUGGCCCUGUGCCUUUCAACGGGUGCAGUGUCCAGUGCAGCAAGUUUACCUUGAACAAAUCAGAGUGCUUCAAACAGGCGUUUCGCUUGAAUGUUCGUGCAUGGAAUAAUAGAAGAGGAUUCGGUUCUAUUUUAUUGGUUUUAUAGACUGAGAUAAUGGUUAACAGAGACUAACGGGGGCAUUAGUAUUGCUACGUGAGAGGUGAAAUUCUUGGACCGUAGCAAGACUGACUACAGCGAGAGCAUUUGCCAAGAAAGUCUUCAUUAAUCAAGAACGAAAGUCAGAGGUUCGAAGGCGAUCAGAUACCGCCCUAGUUCUGACCGUAAACGAUGCCAACUAGUGAUCCGCCGGUGGAACAUUCGCCCUGGUGGGGAACUUCCCGGAAACGAAAGUCUUCCGGUUCCGGGGGAAGUAUGGUUGCAAAGCUGAAACUUAAAGGAAUUGACGGAAGGGCACCACCAGGAGUGGAGCCUGCGGCUUAAUUUGACCCAACACGGGAAAACUCACCCGGCCCGGACACCGUAAGGAUUGACAGAUUGAUAGCUCUUUCAUGAUUCGGUGGAUGGUGGUGCAUGGCCGUUCUUAGUUCGUGGAGCGAUUUGUCUGGUUUAUUCCGAUAACGAGCGAGACUCUGGCCUACUAAAUAGUUUACACAUUGCUUCUGUGUGCAUAACUUCUUAGAGGGAUUUUCGGUGUUCAGCCGCAAGAAAUUGAGCAAUAACAGGUCUGUGAUGCCCUUAGAUGUCCGGGGCUGCACGCGCGCUACACUGGCAAAAUCAGCGUGCUUGUCCUUCCCCGAAAGGGGUUGGUAAACUCGUGAAAAUUUGCCGUGAUUGGGAUCGGAAAUUGCAAUUAUUCUCCGUGAACGAGGAAUUCCAAGUAAGUGCGAGUCAUCAACUCGCGUUGAUUACGUCCCUUCCCUUUGUACACACCGCCCGUCGCUGCCCGGGACUGAGCC